GCUGAACAACAAAAUUCUCUGGAGAAAUGGGCCCCGAUGCCUGGUUACAUAAGAGCCUUCUUUACACACUGGUUAAAAUAUAAUGCCACAGUCCCUCUCAUUCCUGCGAUCAAUUGACUUCGCUUCUAUUUCCGCCCUCAAAAAAUAAAGUAUGAUGAGAGUUUGACCAAAUAGAAAAUAUUUAACUCCUCAGGGACGAUGAGGCCAGGAGAAACAGUGUAGGAAUGUUGCAGAAACGUGUCUGGUUCGUUGAAGAGCCAUAACCCUGGAGUCUUGACUAAUGGCUCAUAACCCGUGCUGAGGGAGGUCUCCAGUGGAGUACUAAAGAGAUCUUCCCUUGUCUCUAUCUUUGCAACAUUUUCGACUUAGAUGAAGACGUAGAAGGUUUACGUUUCUUCGCGCCGAAGCAAUCUUUCAAAAGUUGCUUUAGUGAAGAUCUAUUGGUCGUAGAGUCUGUUACACUUUGUAUGUCUGACAAGAACUUCAUUCUACCCUCCCCUUCAAGGACUAGUUGAACUGAACGCAAUGUUCUAGAACGACAGCUCUUCCAUCGUCUUUUGGCAUCUACUGUUGCACGGUAGGAAUCUACCGUCAGGUCUUGUUCCUCUGUAGAUCAUCUCUUCUCUCCACUCAAUGGCUUUUAAGGAAGUAUGGAUUAGCUUUAUCUUUUAUACUUUUCAGAUCCAUUACUCCUGUCUAGAUGUGAAUUUAUUUUUUAUUAUCUAGCUUGGAACCUGGAAUGUAAUUUUGAUCGGAGGACUUAGACAUUUCUUCAAUUUGGGAAAACCAUUUUAUUAUUUCUUCAGCAAUUGUAGAGAGAGGGAGAUACAGAAUCUGAAACAGGCUCCAGGCUCUGACUUUCAGCACAGAGCCCGAUGCAGGGCUCGAACUCAUGAACCGUGAGAUCAUGACGUGAGCCGAAGUCAGACACUUAACCGACUGAGCCACCCAGAUGCCCCUAGAAUACUUAUUUAAAAAAAUUUUUUUAAUGUUUAUUUAUUUUUGAGAGAGAGUGUGUGAGCGGGGAAGGGGCAGAGAGAGGGAGACACAGAAUCUGAAGCAGGCUGCAGGCUCUGAGCUGUCAGCACAGAGCCCGAUGCAGGGCUCGAACUCAUGAACUGGGAGAUCAUGACCCGAGCUGAAGUCAGAUGCCCAACUGACUGAGCCACCCAGACGCCCCAAGAAUACUUAUUUUAAACUGGUUCUUGGAGUUUCUACACCAUGAUAGUAUCAUGGCUUUCAAAGAUCCAGUCAUCAGUCAGCAUGACUUAAGUUAGUUACUGGCUUAGUUACUCCUCUGUCUCUUAUAGACCAGCAGAUACUUAGGAACCAGUCCUAGGCAGCAGUGGGCACUAUCUUUUUAAAACUGAAGUACACAGGGGUGCCUGGGUGGCUCAGUUGGUUAAGUGUCUGACUUCACCUCAGGUCAUGACCUCGUGGUUUGUGAGUUUGAGGCCCAGGUCGGGCUCCGUGCUGACAGCUCAGAGCCUGGAGCCUGCUUCAGAUUCUGUGUCUCCCUCUCUCUCUGCCCCUCCCUCACUCAUGCUCUGUCUCUCAAAAAUGAAUAAAUGUUAAAAAAAAUUUUAAUUGAAGUACGUACAUUGAAAUACACAGAUCUUAAGUGUAUGGUUAGAUUAGUCUUGAAAAAUACAUACGCUUGAGUAACCCACACCCCUCUCAAGGUAUAGAACAUUUCCAUCAUUCCAGAAGUUCUUUGAUAUUUGUCCCAGUUUCCCCUCUACUCUAGCAGCCUCUCUUCCGAUUUUAUCACCAGAGGUUAAUUUUGCUUGUUUUAGAACUUCAUGGAAUCAUAUACUGUCCUAGCCGGUUCAGGGUGUUGUAGCAAAAAUACCAUAGACUGAAUGGCUUAAACAACAAACACUUGUAUUUCUUACAGUUCUGGAAAGUGGGAAGUCCAAGACCAGGGCAAAGAUUCGGUGCCGGUGAGAACCCAGCUCUUGGUUCAUAGAUGGCUGCCUUCUGGCUGUAUCCUCACAUGGUGUGAAGAAAAUGAAAACGAAAUGAUAGAGCCCUCUGGGAUCUCUUUUAUAAGUGCAGUGAUCCCAUUCAUAAGGGACCCACCAUUAUGAUCUAAUCAUCUCCCCAAGGCUCCAUGUAAAUACCAUCGUAUUGGAGACUAGGUUUCAAUAUACGUGUGAGGGAUGAGAAGGACACAGACUUUCAGUCUAUGGCUUGUAGCCUGUACUCUUUUGUGUCAGGUUCCUUUUGUUCUUUCGCAUUGCUGUGUGUGUCAGCAAUUUAUUCCUUUUCAUUGUUGAGCAAUAUAACAGUAUUUGUUUACCCAUUCUCCUGUCAAUAGACAUCCGGGAUGUUUUCAGUUUGGGGCUAUUAUGAGCAGAACUACUCCGAAUAUACUUGUGCAAGGCUUU